AGGAGGUGGAUAUUCACAGACAACCAGGAGGUUGGCUUAGAAGCAGCCAUACCUUAAAAGAGUGCGUAAUAGCUCACUGGUCGAGAGUAUCUGCGCCGAAGAUGUAACGGGGCUAAGACAUAAACCGAAGCUGUGGAAGAUGCUUUGCAUCUUGGUAGGAGAGCGUUCUGUAAGCCGAUGAAGGCAGGCUGUAAGGCCUGCUGGAGGUAUCAGAAGUGAGAAUGCAGGAAUGAGUAGCGAGAAGGCGGGUGAGAAUCCCGCCGGCCGGAAGUCCAAGGUUUCCAGGGGAAGGUUUGUCCGCCCUGGGGAAGUCGGGACCUAAGCCGAGGCUAAGUAGCGCAGGCGAAUGGAAAAUAGGUUAAUAUUCCUAUACCACUUAAUUAACGUUAUUACUGAUGGAGUGACGCAGGAAGGUAUGUGAGAAGGCUGACGGUUUAGCCUUUCUAAGGAAGUAGCGUGAGCAUAUAGGUAAAUCCGUAUGCUUAAACGUGAGAACUGAUGGGUAAGCACCUCUUGGUGUAAGUCACAAAUCCUACACUGCCAAGAAAAACUUCUAAGGAGGAAAUUAAGUGCCCGUACUGUAAACCGACACAGGUGGACAGAGUGAGAAACUUAAGGCCGACAGGAUAACUCUAGCUAAGGAACUCUGCAAAAUAGCCCCGUAACUUCGGGAGAAGGGGUGCCUGACAUACCUGAAGGAGAGAAGCGCUCCCAGGGGAAACAGGCCGCAGUGAAGAGUCUCAAGCAACUGUUUACCAAAAACACAGGUCUAUGCUAAGCUGAAAGGCGACGUAUAUGGGCUGACACCUGCCCAGUGCCGGAAGGUUAAGAGGAGGAGUGAGAGCUCCGAUUUGAAGCCCCGGUGAACGGCGGCCGUAACUAUAACGGUCCUAAGGUAGCGAAAUUCCUUGUCGGGUAAGUUCCGACCUGCACGAAUGGUGAAAUGAUUUGAGAGCUGUCUUGGCUGGAGACCUGGUGAAGUUGUAAUGCCGGUGAAGAUACCGGCUACCUGCAGUAGGACGGAAAGACCCCGUGGAGCUUUACUGUAGCUUGGCAUUGGGUUUUGGCAAUGUGUGUAUAGGAUAGUUGGGAGACUAUGAAGUAAUGGCGUCAGUUGUUACAGAGUCGCUGUUGGAAUACCAACCAUAUGUUGUUGAAAUUCUAAUCUGGUAUCGGAGACAGUGCUAGGUGGGCAGUUUGACUGGGGCGGUCGCCUCCAAAAGAGUAACGGAGGCGUUCAAAGGUUCCCUCAGGUUGGAUGGAAAUCAACCUAAGAGUGCAAACGCAUAAGGGAGCUUGACUGCGAGACUGACGGGUCGAGCAGGUACGAAAGUAGGAGUUAGUGAUCCGGUGGUUCCGUAUGGAAGGGCCAUCGCUCAACGGAUAAAAGCUACCCCGGGGAUAACAGGCUGAUACUUCCCAAGAGU
rnacentral:rRNA from 1 species